AGUGAACGCUGGCGGUAGGCCUAACACAUGCAAGUCGAACGGCAGCACAGUAAGAGCUUGCUCUUACGGGUGGCGAGUGGCGGACGGGUGAGGAAUACAUCGGAAUCUACUUUUUCGUGGGGGAUAACGUAGGGAAACUUACGCUAAUACCGCAUACGACCUACGGGUGAAAGCAUGGGAUCUUCGGACCUUGCGCGAUUGAAUGAGCCGAUGUCGGAUUAGCUAGUUGGCGGGGUAAAGGCCCACCAAGGCGACGAUCCGUAGCUGGUCUGAGAGGAUGAUCAGCCACACUGGAGCUGAGACACGGUCCAGGCUACUACGGGAGGCAGCAGUGGGGAAUAUUGGACAAUGGGCGCGAGCCUGAUCCAGCCAGACCGCGUGGGUGAAGAAGGCCUUCGGGUUGUAAAGCCCUUUUGUUGGGAAAGAAAAGCAGCAGGUUAAUACCCCGCUGUUCUGACGGUACCCAAAGAAUAAGCACCGGCUAACUUCGUG
rnacentral:rRNA from 1 species